rnacentral:rRNA from 1 species
GGGGCUCAACCUUAAAAUUGCAGUUGAUACUGGCGUCCUUGAGUGCGGUUGAGGUGUGCGGAAUUCGUGGUGUAGCGGUGAAAUGCUUAGAUAUCACGAAGAACUCCGAUUGCGAAGGCAGCACACUAAUCCGUAACUGACGUUCAUGCUCGAAAGUGUGGGUAUCAAACAGGAUUAGAUACCCUGGUAGUCCACACGGUAAACGAUGGAUACUCGCUGUUGGCGAUAUACUGUCAGCGGCUUAGCGAAAGCGUUAAGUAUCCCACCUGGGGAGUACGCCGGCAACGGUGCAACUCAAAUGAAUUGACGG